rfam:Triticum aestivum genome assembly, contig: Triticum_aestivum_CS42_TGACv1_scaffold_021181_1AS
UUUGUACUCCCUCCGUCCCAAAAUUCUUGUCUUAAAUUUGUCUAAAUACGGAUGUAUCUAGUUACAUUUUAUGUUAGAUACAUCCGUAUCUAAACAAAUGUAAGACAAGAAUUUUGGGACGGAGGGAAUACUAC